rnacentral:rRNA from 1 species
UACGGAGGGUGCAAACGUUGCUCGGAAUCAUUGGGCGUAAAGCGCACGUAGGCGGACCGCUAAGUCGGAUGUGAAAGCCCUCGGCUUAACCGAGGAAGUGCACUCGAAACUGACGGUCUUGAGUAUGGAAGAGGGUCGCGGAAUUCCCGGUGUAGAGGUGAAAUUCGUAGAUAUCGGGAGGAACACCAGUGGCGAAGGCGGCGACCUGGGCCAAUACUGACGCUGAGGUGCGAAAGCGUGGGGAGCAAACAGG